GCAUAUUCAAUGCUCCUUGCUGCUUAUUUCUGGAAUUGAGGUGGCCUCGUGCUUUUAUAGGACAGCAAUUGACACAUUUGCCCUGGCAGCUGAGACAGCCCAUGAGGAAAGACGCUUUGGGGUCCACCUGUCCUAUUUAGAAACAGUUACACAAGACAGAGAAUGCUGAUUCACUAUGCAGUGAAACAUGCCUAACGUGUCAACAGCUAAAUGCCCGGUGACAGUGUGGUUGUCUGGGCAACAGAAGAAGUCACCCACGCAAACACUUAAAGGACCAUACUUAUUUUACAAGAGGAACAGUUUUCAAUGGAAUGGAUAUUAAAACACACACCUGGAUCCCUUUACCACAGGUGCUUUGAGAGGCACCAUCAAGGACAGUGAGCUAACGCAGGUAACUCAGGUAACAGGGCGGUGAGCUAAUGCAGGUAACACAGGUGACAGAGUCAUGGGCUAAUACAGGUAACACAGGGUAGUGAGUUAACUCAAGUAAUAUAGCUAAGCCAGGUAACCCAGCUUACACAGCCAACACCUGGCAGUGGGCUAACACAGUUAACU
rnacentral:lncRNA from 1 species